UACGUAGGGUGCAAGCGUUAAUCGGAAUUACUGGGCGUAAAGCGUGCGCAGGCGGUUUUGUAAGUCUGUCGUGAAAUCCCCGGGCUCAACCUGGGAAUUGCGAUGGAGACUGCAAGGCUAGAAUCUGGCAGAGGGGGGUAGAAUUCCACGUGUAGCAGUGAAAUGCGUAGAUAUCAGGAAGAACACCGAUGGCGAAGGCAGGUCUCUGGGCUGACACUGACGCUCAUGCACGAAAGCGUGGGGAGCAAACAGG
rnacentral:rRNA from 1 species